UUGAGUGUUUCGGAGAUAUUUUAGAUAGAACUGAACGAUCAAAACAUAUUUAGUUUCGAACAUUCUGUCUACAUCAUGAAAUGUUCUGAAAUGAAACACAAUUCAAAAUAAUAUACUCAUUUGACAAUAUUUAGCAUUUUUAACAGUAUC
ensembl:ncRNA H14A12.8 ncRNA